UGACUUUAACACUUCAUGACUGAGAGCUGCUGCUCAGCAACUUCACCCACAGCAACCAUGACUUUGAUCAGCGUCUUCAUCUGCACACUGGCCCUCUGGACUCAAGGAUCCAGAGGUCAGGUGACUGUGACUCAGACUCCUUCAGUGCAAACUGUUGUUCCAGGAAACACAGUCACCAUCAACUGUAGAACCAGUAGUAGUGUGAAUAAUGGUAACUACCUAGCCUGGUACCUGCAGAAACCUGGAGAAGCUCCUAAACUCCUGAUCUACUAUGCUACUAGCUUACAGUCAGGGACUCCAGCUCGUUUCAGAGGCAGUGGAUCUAAUACUGACUUCACUCUGACCAUCAGUGGAGUCCAGACUGAAGAUGCAGGAAAUUACUACUGUCAGAGUGCACAUUAUAUCAGUAGUAGCUGGGUGUUCACACAGUGUUAGAGCGUGGUGCAAAAACCUCGGUCAGUGAGAGUGCACAGAGAAGCACUGCUGCAGCUGGGAGCGACUGCAGGUGCUGAGGGGGAGGAUGUGAUAC